GGGGUUAUAGCUCAGUGGUAGAGCGCCUGCUUUGCAUGCAGGAGGCCCAGGGAUCAAUCCCCUGUGACUCCA
rfam:Rhizoclosmatium globosum strain JEL800 BCR33scaffold_43, whole genome shotgun sequence.